UGUGGUGAUAUUAAAAAUAUACAUUUUAUUUUUGGCAAUCAUUUUUCUUUUAUAAAUUCAAAAAAGAAAAUGUAUAUUUUGUUAUAUAUAACCAACGUUUGAGUUUUAAAAAAGAUAAAUGAAUUUAUAAGAAAAUGAUUGCCAAAAAGAAAAUGUAUAUUUUGUUAUAUUACCAAAA
rfam:Arabidopsis lyrata subsp. lyrata unplaced genomic scaffold ARALYscaffold_8, whole genome shotgun sequence.